GCCGUAACAGGUACUGGAGGUCCGAACCCACGCAUGUUGCAAAAUGCGGGGAUGAGCUGUGGAUAGGGGUGAAAGGCUAAACAAACUCGGAGAUAGCUGGUUCUCCCCGAAAACUAUUUAGGUAGUGCCUCGAGCUAGACACUGAUGGGGGUAAAGCACUGUUAUGGCUAGGGGGUCAUUGCGACUUACCAACCCAUGGCAAACUAAGAAUACCAUCAAGUGGUUCCUCGGGAGACAGACAGCGGGUGCUAACGUCCGUUGUCAAGAGGGAAACAACCCAGACCGCCGGCUAAGGUCCCAAAUGACAGAUUAAGUGGUAAACGAAGUGGGAAGGCCCAGACAGCCAGGAUGUUGGCUUAGAAGCAGCCAUCAUUUAAAGAAAGCGUAAUAGCUCACUGGUCGAGUCGUCCUGCGCGGAAGAUGUAACGGGGCUCAAAUCUGUAACCGAAGCCGCGGAUGCCGCAAGGCAUGGUAGGGGAGCGUUCUGUAGGCCUGAGAAGGUGUAUCGUAAGGUAUGCUGGAGGUAUCAGAAGUGCGAAUGUUGACAUGAGUAGCGAUAAAGCGGGUGAAAAGCCCGCUCGCCGAAAGCCCAAGGUUUCCUACGCAACGUUCAUCGGCGUAGGGUGAGUCGGCCCCUAAGGCGAGGCAGAAAUGCGUAGUCGAUGGGAAACGGGUUAAUAUUCCCGUACUUUGAUUCAAUGCGAUGUGGGGACGGAGAAGGUUAGGUCAGCAAACUGUUGGAAUAGUUUGUUCAAGCCGGUAGGUGGAAGACUCAGGCAAAUCCGGGUCUUCAUAACACCGAGAAGUGAUAACGAGCAUCUACGGAUGCGAAGUGACCGAUACCACGCUUCCAGGAAAAGCCACUAAGCUUCAGUUGGAUCAGAACCGUACCGCAAACCGACACAGGUGGGCAGGAUGAGAAUUCUAAGGCGCUUGAGAGAACUCGGGAGAAGGAACUCGGCAAAUUGAUACCGUAACUUCGGGAGAAGGUAUGCCCUCUAAUGUGAAAGACUUGCUCUGUAAGCAUAGGAGGGUCGCAGAGAAUCGGUGGCUGCGACUGUUUAUUAAAAACACAGCNNNNNNNNNNNNNNNNNGUGGACGUAUAGAGUGUGACGCCUGCCCGGUGCUGGAAGGUUAAUUGAAGAUGUGAGAGCAUCGGAUCGAAGCCCCAGUAAACGGCGGCCGUAACUAUAACGGUCCUAAGGUAGCGAAAUUCCUU
rnacentral:ncRNA from 1 species